AGAAUCAACGCUGGCGGCGUGCCUAAUACAUGCAAGUCGAACGCCAAAGCCCCGCAAGGGGCAAGUAGCGUGGCAAACGGGUGAGUAACGCGUGGGCGACCUGCCUUCGAGUGGGGGAUAACCUUCCGAAAGGAGGGCUAAUACCGCAUGAUAUGCCGUGUUUGGAUACACGGACAUCAAAGCUGGGGAUCGCAAGACCUGGCGCUUGAAGAGGGCCUACGUCCGAUUAGCUAGUUGGUGGGUAACGGCCUACCAAGGCGACGAU
rnacentral:rRNA from 1 species